ensembl:lncRNA
UGGAUGUUAAAGGUUCUUCAUGGAACCAGAGAUGCCAAUAAAGAAAAAAAUUUUUUUUUCUGUAUUAUGUGAUAUCAACAAAUAUAUAAUGUUGUCCUAUAAAUGUUUUGCUUUUCAAGAACAUGCUUCCCCAAGUCAAACAUCUAUAAAAGUAUUUAUAUAUGUGUGUGUGUGUGUGUGUGUGUGUGUGUGUGUGUGUGUGUGUGUGUGUGUGUGUGUGUGUGUGUGUAUACAUAUUCUCAGCAUUCAGAACUCCAGAUCCAAAUGAUUUUACAACAUCUACAAUAUACCAUGGUAAGACACAAUUUGUAUGCGGAUGUUUGGAAAAUGUGUUUUUAAUUAUAGAGUUGAGAAUAUCUAUAAUAACAAAAGAAUAACAAAAUAUCUGUUUGAUAUGUUUUAGUCAUCCAGGCAUAAUACUUCAGUUUAGAAGGUGCCGGCAAGAGGGGAAAAUAAAAAUCAUGAUUUCAGAUUAUAAAUCUGUUAUUUUGUCUAUCAGUAAAUACUGUUGUCCUUUACUCAAUCAUGUGUUUUAAAAUGUUUUUGUUCAUGUUUUAUUCAUGCGUUUUGAAAUGUUUUUCUAUUACCAUUCAUUGAUUUUAGUGUUUAAAAUGGGUUCUCAGAUAAGUGGAUACUUUUGUAAACCACAUAUGUAAAUUUAUGUUCAGUAGAUAGGUACAAGAUGGAAAUUACAGAAUGAGUUUUAAAAAAAAAACUCUAGAGGAAACUUGGCAAGCAUCACAACAAUCUGUUCCGUCCAGUAGGUGACGCUAAUGACAUUUAGUAUAUUCUGCAGGGUACUCAUAAAGUGUACAUGUAAUAUUAUAUAUACAUUUUCUAAAUUAAAAUAUCUAUCUUUAGUUUACUUUGCAAAUGUUGCUAGACCAUUAAAUACAAAUGCAACCAUUACUACCCUUAAAUCUGUUCAAAGACAAAAUUAUGAUCUCUCUCUCUCUCUCUAUCUCUCUCUCUCUCUGUGUGUGUGUGUGUGUGUGUGUGUGUGUGUGUGUGUGUGUGUGUGUGUGUGUCUGUGUAAUAUGUAUGUCUGUAAAAGAAAGAAAACAAAUUCCUGAUUUUGAUUAGAUUGAAACAACUUAUUUGGACUUAAAUGGAUGACUGUAAAUGCUAUUUAUUCUGUUUAAAGGCCUGCAGCAGAUUCCCUUCUGUUCUCCUGACACUCAAUACUGUAUAUACAGUACUUAUAAUAACACAAACUCUUUGGUUAUAUAUUAACCAAAGUAAGCUACAUGAUAAGAAAAAGCUAAUAAAAUAUGAUUUAAACAGAAUAAGAAAAAAUGUACAAAAGCUGUCACUUGGGCAGUAACUUUUAUGCAGUAAUAUACACUUAAGGUACUAAUAUGAAUCUUUAAGUGACCAAUAUGAACCCUUUAUGUACAAAGGUGUAACUUUUGAAAAGGUACCGCCCAAGUGACAGCUUUUGUACCUUUCUUUCUGAGAGUGAGCCUCCAGUGUUACUUUAAAGCCAUUUAGGGGAAACACUAGCAAUUCUCAACACUUACAUGUGCCAAUGUUGUGGUUGUUGCAAGCAGAUCUUAAAAUAAACAAUGCGGUAAGCAAAGGUAUAGGCUACAUACAACCUCAGAAAAGGGGAAAACCUAAUGCUUUGGCCGGAACAAAUGACUUUGACUUCAUUUCAGUCAAAUAAAUUAGCUUGUUUGAUGUAACAGUAAACAUAAUUGUUUAUAAUCAAGAAAUUGAUUUGCAGUGAAUAACUAACUUUUUUGCAAUAACUUUGCAAAAUAUGCAAAUUAAGGCAGAGGUUGCAUAAUAUGUUGGAUUUGUUAUGCAAAGAAACUGUAUGCAGCCUAAUUAAAUGCUUUGUGAGUGAGUUGGACAAGAAUUAUUUUUGGCAAUACUGUACUCACUAGUUUUAUAACAGUGGCAUGCAUAUAAUAAUGUGAGGUGAUCUCACAUUGACUUUGCUACAGGAUGUGGUAACAAUGGAAACCUGUUGCUUGAAAGGUAAGUAGCCCAGCGUUUGACUAUACAACCUCAGAAUACAAUGCAAAGGUAAAUCUAUCUACCCUCAGCCUUUAAUGUUAUCAGAUGCAUCACAAAUCACAUUUUUCACUGUUUGGUCAUAGCUGCAUCACUAAUCUGGCAGUAGGAAAAUAAUAUGUCAGCCACAGGCAGCUAAAUGACAAGUACGCAGUGAAAUCGCAGCCUCAGGCCACCACAUGUAAGAGGCUGUGUGUGUGUGUGUGUUUACAGGAAAUAACAGGUGACGGUCAUCAGCCUACACAUGCUCUGUCUUGAUCUUGCAACUUUGACAUCUUGAGUGUCAUGCAUCAUGUACAUUUCACAUCUUUGGAUAUUUUUUGGUGCUUUGGUGUCUUCAAAUGGUAGGGUCAAAAUAGCAAUAUUUAUAGUCAAUUAUAAUAUAGUUUAUUUGAUAUUGGGGACAAAAUAAACAUAAUUUUGACUAUAUUAUUAUUUAUAAUAGUUUUAAUAAAAGAAUGCAAAAUAAUAAUAUAAUAUUGCCUCUGUGUUAGCAAUUCUGAUGUAUUUAUUACAUUGUUGUGUUUAAAGCUAACAAACUACAUUUCUUUAACAUUAU